rnacentral:lncRNA from 1 species
AAUAAUUGCAUAUUAAAAACUACCAAAAAACAACCUACCCCCUCAAAAAAAUAACCACAUAAAUAUUUAUAUAUUAAAAAAACGAAAAAAAAAAAAAAACGAAAAAAAGAUUACAAUAAAAAAAAGUUUGUAGAUAUUUUUAAUCAGAUUUUGGACUUGGACCUUUGCUGUUUGUUGGCUUAUUGCCAACAUUCGAACGUUCAUGGACUGGAUAAAACUGUGACGUCGCUGACAUGAACUUUCGAACGUUGGGACUGGCAGUUAAAAGGCGCAGCAGCCCGAAAACUUCAGUCGUCGACGGAUCUUCGCAGCGACAACAUGUGCUCUAUUCGAGGGAUACUGGGAGCGGCGGGCGUUGCAGCUCUAGCUGUAGCGGCCGGUGGAUCACUUUACUACCUGUACCGAUCCAGAGCUCAGAAGCCGACGACAACGGAGGAGACCACGGUCACUCCAGUGGGAGAAGACACUGAAACGGUGGAGGAGAUCCAGGCUGAGCCGAUGGUUGAACCUGUACUCUCCAAGACUGUGAUGGAGUUGGUGGAGGAAGAUGGAGGAGUUGACUGCCCCCAGGAGGAAGAUCAGACCACUCUCAUCAUGGAUGAGGCACCAGAAGCUCCCAGCCUGUUUCUGGUCACUGACUUAACAGAGACUGAGGAAGCUGAGGUGACCCUUUAUUCAGAGCUUCCUGAGAGUGUGGUGAAGACACUGGUGGAAGAUGGAGGAGUUGACUGCCCCCAAGAGGAAGAUCAGACCACUCUCAUCAUGGAUGAGGCACCGGAAGCUCCCAGCCUGCUACAGGUCACUGACCUAGCAGAGACUGAGGAAGCUGAGGUGACCCUUUAUUCAGAGCUUUGUGAGAGUGUGGUGGAGACACUGGUGGAAGAUGGAGGAGUCGACUGCCCACAAAAUGAAGAUCAGGCCACUCUCAUCAUGGAUGAGGCACCGGAAGUUCCCAGCCUGCUACUGGUCACUGACUUAGCAGAGACUGAGGAAGCUGAGGUGAUUGUAGAGCCUAAACUCUGUGAGAGUGCGGUGGAAACAAUGGUGGAUGAUGAAGGAGAAGAGGUGGAGUGGUGGAGACCCCAAGAGGAAGAAGAUGAGGAUAAGGAGCAACCUCUCCCAGGUGUCUAUCAGCUCUACAAAGACUGGCCGAUAACUAAACAUGAACAACCAAAAGAGCAACGUCAGAAGAGACGAAAAAGAGAGCGGGAAAUCGGCCACAAGAAGGACAGUGGAGAGGAAGCUGUGGUGACCGUGGAGCCUGAACUCUGUGAGAGUGUGGUGGAAGCACUGGUACUAAAUGGAGAAGUUACCAGCCCCCAGGACACGGACCCAGCAGAGACUAAGGAAGCUGAGACGGAGGCUGAAUGCAGACCCGAAGCUGAAUCCAAAAAGAAGCAGAGGAGACGAGGAACACGAGGAAAGGGGCGGAAAAUCAAGUAUAAGAAGGACAGUGUAGAGGAUUAAGUGAAGAAAUAAAUCUUCAUAAAUCUAAAUUUGAGUGUAAGGG